GGAAAAGGAAUCUAAUCUUCACGUCUUGCGUUUUUGACUUUAGGUUCAGUACUUGCCUCUAGCCGCUAGCUGCUCGGCGCCCGCUCUCGCCGCUAGCUGCUCUGCGCCCGCUCCCACUCCUGUGCUCGAGAGACAGCAACUACAAACAAGCUCCCCUUUUGUUGUCUUCUACAGAAAUCGAUAAGAAUGCAAUUUGAACAAGAUCAGGAAGCUGGGAAUGGAUCCAGCUGUACCACGCUUGGGCACACCUCCAGAGGACUCUGCAUCCUACCGUGGUUAUUCUCGCUCAUCUGUGUUCAUUGCUGCUCUAUUCAUAAUAAUCAGAAAUUGAAGACAGCCUUGAUCGAAGUCCAGAUGUAUUAACCAAAAUAAUUAAAAUUAAAAUAACCAGAAAAAUAACAGCAGGAUGCUGCACUGAAAGAGACACCAGCUGCCCUGAAGUUGAUGGUAUUCAGGACCAGCAGAAAUGGAUGGGGAACAUGAAAGAUGUAUGAGAUCAUAAAAGUCAUAAAGACAAGACUCACAGAACCUGUUAAGAGUCAAAGUAUAAUGGUUUAUGAAUGAUGAAAUAUCUUUUAAUGGGUAAAAUUAAAAACCCAUUCUAAAUGAGCUGAAAUGUCGACAAAAUUAUAACAAUGGAGACUCAUAUUUCUUUCCUUGUCAAACAGGUAGAUCAAGAGAAUAAGGAGUCAAAACUCAAGCUUGUAGGUCUUCAAAAAGCUUUCUCUUUUUUUCUUUCUUUCUUUUUUUCCUUUCUUUUUAAAUUUUCGAGACAG